rnacentral:rRNA from 1 species
GACGAACGCUGGCGGCGUGCUUAACACAUGCAAGUCGAACGGAAAGGCCCUGCUUUUGUGGGGCGCUCGAGUGGCGAACGGGUGAGUAACACGCGAGUAACCUGCCCUUGACUUUGGGAUAACUUCAGGAAACUGGGGCUAAUAUCGGAUAGGAGCUCCUGCUGCAUGGUGGGGGUUGGAAAGUUUCGGCGGUUGGGGAUGGACUCGCGGCUUAUCAGCUUGUUGGUGGGGUAGUGGCUUACCAAGGCUUUGACGGGUAGCCGGCCUGAGAGGGUGACCGGCCACAUUGGGACUGAGAUACGGCCCAGACUCCUACGGGAGGCAGCAGUGGGGAAUAUUGCACAAUAGGCGGAAGCCUGAUGCAGCAACGCCGCGUGCGGAAUGACGGCCUUCGGGUUGUAAACCGCUUUCGCCUGUGACGAAGCGUGAGUGACGGUAAUGGGUAAAGAAGCACCGGCUAACUACGUG